GGGCUUACUGGAAGUGAGCCUGGAUUAUCAGGGUUUAAUAUAAUAUUGGUUUCGUUUACGAUGAAAAGUUUUUUUGUGUAAUUCAAAAUAUCCUGAAUAUUAUUAUAUAAUUUUUUUUUAUUGUUUAGUUAAAGUUUUAUUUAAGUAGUUUUAUAUUUUUAUUAGUUUUAGUAGUUUUUUUUGAAAUGAUUAUUUAUAUUAUAGUUAAUUUUUAAUGUAAGUGGGGUUUUAUAUUAUAUUGGAAGAAUUUAUUAUUAUUUUACCUUUUGUAUCAGGGUUGAUUAAAUAUGAAGUUUUUAUCAGGUUUUCUCGAAUUAUAGGGAUUUAUUAUAAUAUGAUUUUUUAUGUUACAUAGUAAUUUUUAAUAUUAUGAUGGUAGUGAAAUUCUAUUCGUUCUUUAAUAUAUCUAGUUUUCUAAGAUUAAAUUAAAUUUGGGAAAAUUUUUUAAUUUAAUUUUGUUUUUUAUAUUUUUAAUUUUUUCUUAUGAGUUAGGGGUUAAGCUCUAACUUAAUUUAUAAUUUAAUUUAUUUGAUUUUUUUAUAGGCUUGUAAUCAGCCAUUAUUUGAAUUGCGUUUCAGUUUAAUUUUAUAUUUAAUUAUUUACUAUUUUGUUUAGGUUUCAUAUUAGAAUGUUUACUUUAAUUUUUAUUGUUUAUUAAUAAUGAUUGAAUUAGUAUAUUAAUUUGUUUGUAAUAGGGUGAGUUUAAAAUUUAAUUAAAGGAAUUCGGCAAUUUUUUAAUUUUUCCGCCUGUUUAUCAAAAACUUCUCUUGUGGGUUUUAUAGCAAGUUGGGCCUGCUCACUGAUAUUUAAAGAGCCGCGGUAUUUUGACCGUGCAAAGGUAGCAUAAUCAUUAGUAUAUUAAUUGUAUACUGGAAUGAAAGGUUUGACGAGAAAUAUACUGUCUCUAUAUAAUGGUUAGAAUUUUACUUUUUAGUAAGAAGGCUGAGAUUUUUUUUUAGGACGAUAAGACCCUAUAGAGUUUUACUUUAUGUAAUUUUAUAAUUUAGGUUAUUUUUUUUUAUAUUAUUUUAUAAGUUUUAUUGGGGUGAUGUGAAUAAUGGCUAAACUAUUCAUUUAUUUUUUUUCAUUGAUUUAUGUUAUUUAUGAUCUUGUAUUAUUAAUAGUAAGAUAAAAUUACCUUAGGGAUAACAGCAUAAUUAUCUUUGAGAGUUCAUAUUGACAGGAUAGAUUGUGACCUCGAUGUUGGAUUAAGAUUAUCAUUUGGGUGUAGGUGCUUAAAUUGG
rnacentral:rRNA from 1 species